CUACGGGCCGCUGCAGUGGGGAAUAUUGCACAAUGGGGGAAACCCUGAUGCAGCGACGCCGCGUGAGGGAAGAAGGUUUACGGAUUGUAAACCUCUGUCCUUGGUGACGAUAAUGACGGUAGCCAAGGAGGAAGCCACGGCUAACUACGUGCCAGCAGCCGCGGUAAUACGUAGGUGGCAAGCGUUGUCCGGAAUUACUGGGUGUAAAGGGAGCGUAGGCGGGAAAGCAAGUUGAAUGUUUAAACUAUCGGCUCAACCGAUAAUCGCGUUCAAAACUGUUUUUCUUGAGUGAAGUAGAGGUAGGCGGAAUUCCUAGUGUAGCGGUGAAAUGCGUAGAUAUUAGGAGGAACACCAGUGGCGAAGGCGGCCUACUGGGCUUUAACUGACGCUGAGGCUCGAAAGCGUGGGUAGCAAACAGGAUUAGAUACCCCCGUAGUC
rnacentral:rRNA from 1 species